ACGGAAGGCAGCAGUGGGGAAUAUUGCACAAUGGGGGAAACCCUGAUGCAGCGACGCCGCGUGAGUGAUGAAGUAUUUCGGUAUGUAAAGCUCUAUCAGCAGGGAAGAUAAUGACGGUACCUGACUAAGAAGCACCGGCUAAAUACGUGCCAGCAGCCGCGGUAAUACGUAUGGUGCAAGCGUUAUCCGGAUUUACUGGGUGUAAAGGGAGCGUAGGCGGUACGGCAAGUCUGAAGUGAAAUCCCAGGGCUCAACCUUGGAACUGCUUUGGAAACUGUCGAACUAGAGUGUCGGAGAGGUAAGUGGAAUUUCUAGUGUAGCGGUGAAAUGCGUAGAUAUUAGGAGGAACACCAGUGGCGAAGGCGGCUUACUGGACGAUUACUGACGCUGAGGCUCGAAAGCGUGGGGAGCGAACAGGAUUAGAUACCCUGGUA
rnacentral:rRNA from 1 species